rnacentral:lncRNA from 1 species
AAGGAUUGUUGGUGACUUUUUCAUGAUCCAACUCCUAAGUUCUUCGAACUGAUACUACUAUGAACAGAUGCUACUUUUGAGUCACCCGCAUCUAUUCUUUUUGGAUCUUCUUGCAGCCUUGUUGUUGCCAGGUUUUCCUAGAGCAUUUUCUAUUUAUUUGUUUUCUAGUUUCUGAAUCAUUUUUUGUAUAUUCUUUACUUUUCAGAUGAUGUAGGUUGUCACAUUAUAUAUUCUCCACCUCUUU